AAGUCGUAACAAGGUUUCCGUAGGUGAACCUGCGGAAGGAUCAUUAUUGAAUAAACUUAACCUGGUUGCUGCUGGCCUUUUCGAAGGCAUGUGCACACCUUGUUAUCUUUAUAUUUCCACCUGUGCACCUUUUGUAGACCUGGAUUCAACUUUCCGAUGUAAAACUCGGUCGUGAGGAAUUGCAUAACAGCUUUCCUUGUAAGUUUCCAGGCCUAUGUUUUCAUAUACACCAUAAGCAUGUAAUAGAAUGUCAUUAUUAGACUUUAUGUCUUAUAAACUAUAUACAACUUUCAGCAACGGAUCUCUUGGCUCUC
rnacentral:misc_RNA from 1 species